rfam:TPA: Bos taurus chromosome 1, whole genome shotgun sequence.
UCCCUCGUAGCUCAGUUGGUAAAGAAUCUGCCUGCAAUGCAGGAGACCUGGGUUUGAUUCCUGGGUUGGGAA